rnacentral:rRNA from 1 species
UAUUUUCUGCAAUGCAGCCAUGCCUGACGGAGAAAGCCGACUGAGGGAGUAGGCCUUUGGGUUGAAACCUUUUUCUCAAGGAUAAAGAUCCGACGGUACAGAGGAAUAAGCAUCGGCUAAUUCCUUCCAUCAGCCGCGGUAGACGGAGGAUGCAAGCAUUAUCCGGAAUUAUUGGGCGUAUAGCGUCGGUAGGUGGCAGGCCAAGUCUGUUUUUAAAGAGUACAGCUCAACUGUAUAAAGGGAAUGGAAUCUGGUCAGUUAGAGUUCGGUAGGGGCAGAGGGAAUUCCCGGUGUAGCGGUGAAAUGCGUAGAUAUCGGGAAGAACACCAGUGGCGAAAGCGCCCUAUGGGCCUGAACUGACAUUGAUGGACGAAAGCUAGGGGAGCGAAAGAAAUUAGAUACCCCUGUGUCCUAGCCGUA